rnacentral:ncRNA from 1 species
GCCGUUUGCUACCGUGGGGACACCCGACGAGACGCGCCGUACCGGGUUACGCAAAGACGACGCACC